rnacentral:rRNA from 1 species
GACGAACGCUGGCGGCGUGCUUAACACAUGCAAGUCGAACGGAAAGACCCUGCUUUUGUGGGGUGCUCGAGUGGCGAACGGGUGAGUAACACGUGAGUAACCUGCCCUUGACUUUGGGAUAACUUCAGGAAACUGGGGCUAAUACCGGAUAGGAGCUCCUGCUGCAUGGUGGGGGUUGGAAAGUUUCGGCGGUUGGGGAUGGACUCGCGGCUUAUCAGCUUGUUGGUUGGGUAGUGGCUUACCAAGGCUUUGACGGGUAGCCGGCCUGGGAGGGUGACCGGCCACAUUGGGACUGAGAUACGACACAGACUACUACGGGAGGCAGCGGUGGAGAAUAUUGCACAAUGGGCGGAAGCCUGAUGCAGCAACGCCGCGUGCGGGAUGACGGCCUUCGGGUUGUAAACCGCUUUCGCCUGUGACGAAGCGUGAGUGACGGUAAUGGGUAAAGAAGCACCGGCUAACUACGUG